CGAACGGAAAGGCCUGCAGCUUGCUCGGGGUACUCGAGUGGCGAACGGGUGAGUAACACGUGGGUGAUCUGCCUUGCACUUCGGGAUAAGCUUGGGAAACUGGGUCUAAUACCGGAUAGGACAGCUGUUUAGUGUCAGUUGUGGAAAGUUUUUUCGGUGCAAGAUGAGCUCGCGGCCUAUCAGCUUGUUGGUGGGGUAAUGGCCUACCAAGGCGUCGACGGGUAGCCGGCCUGAGAGGGUGGACGGCCACAUUGGGACUGAGAUACGGCCCAGACUCCUACGGGAGGCAGCAGUGGGGAAUAUUGCACAAUGGGCGGAAGCCUGAUGCAGCGACGCCGCGUGGGGGAUGAAGGCUUCGGGUUGUAAAUCCUUUCGACAGGGACGAAGCUUUUGUGACGGUACCUGUAUAAGAAGCACCGGCUAACUACGUGCCAGCAGCCGCGGGUAUACGUAGGGUGCGAGCGUUGUCCGGAAUUACUGGGCGUAAAGAGCUCGUAGGUGGUGUGUCGCGUCGUCUGUGAAAUUCCGGGGCUUAACUCCGGGCGUGCAGGCGAUACGGGCUGACUUGAGUGCUGUAGGGGAGACUGGAAUUCCUGGUGUAGCGGUGAAAUGCGCAGAUAUCAGGAGGAACACCGAUGGCGAAGGCAGGUCUCUGGGCAGUAACUGACGCUGAGGAGCGAAAGCAUGGGUAGCGAACAGGAUUAGAUACCCUGGUAGUCCAUGCCGUAAACGGUGGGCGCUAGGUGUAGGGGGCUUCCACGUCCUCUGUGCCGUACGUAACGC
rnacentral:rRNA from 1 species